GAUGAACGCUGGCGGCGCGCCUAACACAUGCAAGUCGAACGAUUAAAGCACCUUCGGGUGUGUAUAAAGUGGCGAACGGCUGAGUAACACGUGGGCAACCUGCCCCUCUCAUUGGGAUAGCCACGGGAAACCGUGGAUAAUACCGAAUACUUCGGGACUUCCGCAUGGAAGACUCGAGAAAGCUCCGGCGGAGAGGGAUGGGCCCGCGGCCUGUUAGCUUGUUGGUGGGGUAAUGGCCUACCAAGGCAAUGAUGGGUAGCUGGGUUGAGAGACCGACCAGCCAGAUUGGGACUGAGACACGGCCCAGACUCCUACGGGCGGCAGCAGUGGGGACUCUUGCACGAUGGGCGAAAGCCUGAUGCAGCGACGCCGCGUGCGGGAUGAAGGCCUUCGGGUUGUAACCCGCUUUCAGCAGGGACGAGGCGAAAGUGACGGUACCUGCAGAAGAAGCCCCGGCUACCUACGU
rnacentral:rRNA from 1 species